AACGAACGCUGGCGGCAUGCCUAACACAUGCAAGUCGAACGAGACCUUCGGGUCUAGUGGCGCACGGGUGCGUAACGCGUGGGAACCUGCCCUUAGGUUCGGCAUAACUCCCCGAAAGGGGUGCUAAUACCGGCUAAUGUCUUCGGACCAAAGAUUUAUCGCGUUUGGAUGGGCCCGCGUUGGAUUAGCUUGUUGGUAGGGUAAAAGCCUACCAAGGCGACGAUGCAUAGCUGGCCUGAGAGGAUGAUCAGCCACACUGGGACUGAGACACGGCCCAGACUCCUACGGGAGGCAGCAGUGGGGAAUAUUGGACAAUGGGCGAAAGCCUGAUCCAGCAAUGCCGCGUGAGUGAUGAAGGCCGUAGGGUUGUAAAGCUCUUUUACCCGGGAUGAUAAUGACAGUACCGGGAGAAUAAGCACCGGCUAACUCCGUG
rnacentral:rRNA from 1 species